AAAGGAGCGAUCCGGUGACGGAUGGGCAUGCGUGACAUUAGCUAGUCGGCGGGGUAACGGCCCACCGAGGCGACGAUGUCUAGGGGUUCUGAGAGGAAGGUCCCCCACACUGGUACUGAGACACGGACCAGACUCCUACGGGAGGCAGCAGUGAGGAAUAUUGGUCAAUGGGCUUACGCCUGAACCAGCCAAGUCGCGUGAGGGAAGACUGCCCUAUGGGUUGUAAACCUCUUUUGUCAGGGAGCAACGCCGGCUACGUGUAGCCGGACUGAGAGUACCUGAAGAAAAAGCAUCGGCUAACUCCGUGCCAGCAGCCGCGGUAAUACGGAGGAUGCGAGCGUUAUCCGGAUUUAUUGGGUUUAAAGGGUGCGUAGGCGGAAUGCCAAGUCAGCGGUAAAAUCGCGGGGCUCAACCUCGCUCCGCCGUUGAAACUGGCGUUCUUGAGUGGGCGAGAAGUAUGCGGAAUGCGUGGUGUAGCGGUGAAAUGCAUAGAUAUCACGCAGAACUCCGAUUGCGAAGGCAGCAUACCGGCGCCCAACUGACGCUGAAGCACGAAAGCGUGGGUAUCGAACAGGAUUAGAUACCCUGGUAGUCCACGCAGUAAACGAUGAAUACUAGCUGUUCGGGGCAAUUGGGCCUUGA
rnacentral:rRNA from 1 species